GAGUAACACGUAAAGAACCUGCCUCAUAGACUGGGACAACUAUUGGAAACGAUAGCUAAUACCGGAUAACAGUAUUUCUCGCAUGAGAGAUAUUUAAAAGUUGGUUAUGCCAACACUAUGAGAUGGCUUUGCGGUGCAUUAGCUAGUUGGUGGGGUAAAGGCCCACCAAGGCGACGAUGCAUAGCCGACCUGAGAGGGUGAUCGGCCACACUGGGACUGAGACACGGCCCAGACUCCUACGGGAGGCAGCAGUAGGGAAAUCUUCCGCAAUGGGCGAAAGCCUGACGGAGCAACGCCGCGUGAGUGAAGAAGGAUUUCGGUUCGUAAAGCUCUGUUGUUAGGGAAGAAUGGAUAUGUAGUAACACCUUAUACAUANUUAANGAGACGGUUACCCUAACCCCCAGGAAAGCCACGGCUAACUACGUGCCAGCAGCCCGCGUAUACGUAGUGCAAGCGUUGUCCGGAAUUAUUGGGCGUAAAGCGCGCAGUGUUUAAUAAGUCUGAUGUGAAAGCCCACGGCUCAACCGUGGAGGUCAUUGGAAACUGUUAAACUUGAGUGCAGGAGAGAAAAGUGGAUUCCUAGUGUAGCGUGAAAUGCGUAGAGA
rnacentral:rRNA from 1 species